GAUGAAGAACGCAGCGAAAUGCGAUAAGUAAUGCGAAUUGCAGAAUUCAGUGAGUCAUCGAAUCUUUGAACGCACAUUGCGCCCUGUGGUAUUCCGCAGGGCAUGCCUGUUCGAGCGUCAUUUCAACCCUCAAGCCCCGCUUGGUGUUGGGCCCCGCCCGCCGUGGCCGGCCCUAAAGACAGUGGCGGCGCCGCCUGGCCCUCAGCGUAGUACAGCUCUCGCUCCAGGGUCCGGCGGCCGCCUGCCAGAACCCCCCCAACUCUGUGGUUGACCUCGGAUCAGGUAGGGAUACCCGCUGAACUUAAGCAUAUCAAUAAGCGGAGG
rnacentral:misc_RNA from 1 species